GAAAAUUUGUUCUUUUAGUAUUUGUCCAGUAGGCUUCUCAGAGAGGAAGCCCCA
ensembl:snRNA U7 U7 small nuclear RNA